CGCACCUUGCACCCUUUGGUAUUCCGAAGGGUACGCCCGUUUGAGUGUCAUUGUAAUCUCACCUCUACAACUUUGUUGUGUGAAGUGGACUUGGACAAUGUCGUGUAACAACGACUGGUCUUAAAAUUAUGAGUGUACCCUGCUGUUGCAGCGUCUUCAGUGUGAUAAUAUCUUCACUGAUCAAAGUUCCUUUGGGACACGCAAGCAUUGUGGGCCCUGCGCUUCCAAUCGUCUCUGGACAUACUUGACAAUUUGACCUCAAAUCGGGCGGGACUACCCGCUGAACUUAA
rnacentral:misc_RNA from 1 species